GCGGCGCUCCACCACCACCAAUGCAUCGGCGCCCCAACAGCAGGAGGAGAGGAUCCCUUGGAGUACAAGGAGUACAACGUCCUCCUGAGGCCGCAGCCGGACGACGAUGGCGUGCAGCGGAGCUGGCACCUGCUCUUCCUCCCCGGCAACACCACCGCCGGUCGCAAGCCGCGGCUGGUCCAAUCGUACAAGCACGUCGUUGACAGCUUUGCCGCCCCACUGACAGAGGUCGAUCGAGAUGGAAGCAGUGUCCAAGAAGCCCGUCUUCUGGUGCUACUUCCUGGACGGCAUCGCUCGCUUGCCUCCAAGCCCUCUAAAAAUUCAUUCGCUUGCAUUGCUGGUUUAAGCAGGAAGGAGGAUGGCAACCUUGCCGGAUCCGGCCAUGGUGCUGCACACGGCGGCGGGAGCACCCCAACGGAGCUACUACGAAUGCGCCGAGACAGCGGCGAUGGUGACAGCGCUGCCUGCGCGGCGGAGGUCGACGAGGCGGGAGAGAGAGAGAUGAAGGAGAGGAGAGCUGUGGAGCUCGUUGGCCGCCUCUUGUCGUCGGGGUUCAUAGGGACGAGGAGGGCAUCGCUACCGCUCCUCAAGAUCGACGGGAGAGAAGGGGAGGGGGCGAGGACGCCGAGGAAGAGGGAGUUGGAUGAGGGGAGCGACGGCAGCGGCGCUUGGGGCGAAUGGGAAGGAGGUGCUUGCGUUGAUGCGGUCGUCGUUGUUGGUGAGGUGGGAGGAGGGGGGGUGGGUGGGCGGAGGAGGGGAAGGGGAAGGAUGGAGAGAGUUUGUUAUCGUCGUCACCGACGAGGUGGGGGUGAUGGUGGUGCGUGUGGUGGAAAAAGGCCGCGAGCGGAGGAAGCCAUGGCCGACAACAUGGCAUGCCUGAUGCCAAUGCCCUCCUCCACAUCACCUGCUCCCACGUCAUAGUGUUGAUGUA
rnacentral:lncRNA from 1 species